ACGAACGCUGGCGGCGUGCUUAACCCCUGCAAGUCGAACGCUGAAGCUCAGCUUUUGUUGGGUGGAUGAGUGGCGAACGGGUGAGUAACACGUGAGUAACCUGCCCCCUUCUUUGGGAUAACGCCCGGAAACGGGUGCUAAUACUGGAUAUUCACUGGUCUUCGCAUGGGGGUUGGUGGAAAGGGUUUUUCUGGUGGGGGAUGGGCUCGCGGCCUAUCAGCUUGUUGGUGGGGUGAUGGCCUACCAAGGCUUUGACGGGUAGCCGGCCUGAGAGGGUGACCGGUCGCAUUGGGACUGAGAUACGGCCCAGACUCCUACGGGAGGCAGCAGUGGGGAAUAUUGCACAAUGGGCGCAAGCCUGAUGCAGCGACGCCGCGUGAGGGAUGGAGGCCUUCGGGUUGUGAACCUCUUUCGCUCAUGGUCAAGCCGCAACAAUGGUUGUGGUGAGGGUAGUGGGUAAAGAAGCGCCGGCUAACUACGUG
rnacentral:rRNA from 1 species